rnacentral:rRNA from 1 species
AUGUUUGAAAAUUUUGGUAAAGUGCUGUAUGAACGUGGGUUGUAUGAUCUAGUAAAAGUCAAGCCGGGUUUGGAGUACAUUGCUAGGCACAUCAAAUUUCAGUCGAGGGAAAAGUGGUGCAAGAAUGAGUUUGUGAUCUCCGUGAGCGAGUCAGCUGAUGAGUUCAAGUGCGAGUGUGGGACAUUCGAGCACUAUGGAAUGGUUUGCAGCCAGGUCAUGAUACACCUGAAAUUGCAUGAGCUCCCUGCGAAGCAUGUGCUCAAGCGAUGGGCUACAGAUGCAAGAGAUAUACUAUCGCCAGAGUAUCUGCGCUACCAAAAGGAUCAUGGACCGCUGAAGUAUUCUUCUAGUCGACGCAACACUUUGUACCUUCUAGUGCUUGAUACCAUUAAGUUAGGCGACAGCAAUGUGGAAGCAUGUGUACUUGUUAUGGAGAAAAUGCGAGAUGUCAAAGUGCUGGUCGAGCCAAUUGCCGCUGAGGGAUGGGCUUGGUUUGUCUGA